GCGGAGGCCAGCUAAGGUCCAGCCUUCUUUGGCCCGUGUGGGCUCCCGAGAGGGCACUGCAAGGUGGCUGCUGCCUCGCCGGCGAGUUUCCUCGAGCCUUGCUUGCUCAGGAAGCACACUGGUGACCAGUGGCUUCUGAUUGCACUUUUAGGCGCCUGGGCCCCCCUCCUCCAGCUUUCUUCCCGAUAUGUCCACACAGAUACUCAAGGGGCACGAGUUCGCUGGUCUUUGCUCAAGGUUGCACCUCUGAUGUUGAUGGAUAUGGCAGCAGCCACCCAAGCCUGCUGAACUGAUAACACCAGGAACUGGUAACACCAAAGGCACCAAAAAAGCAGCCAGUAGCUGGAGGUGGUGACAUGAAAGACAAUUAUCCAGAGUAUGACAGGGAAGUGAAAUGCCAGGAGCUGCCGUGUCCAGUGGCCAACGAUUCCUGAGGCAUGCUGGUAGCUGCCUGCUUCAAGCAACAAGGAGGGCUGCUAACGCCAACAAUGGUGGUAGAAGAGCCACCAUCACCCAUUGGCAUUCAAAGCCCAGCACUGUUAACAACAAAGGAGCUGAACUGAAUCAGCGUGGUCUGGGUGUGGAGGAUCCACCUGAAGACUGUUACAACAGCCAUAAAAAGAGAACUGGAGGGGG
rnacentral:lncRNA from 1 species